rnacentral:rRNA from 1 species
UACGGAGGGUGCAAGCGUUAUCCGGAUUCACUGGGUUUAAAGGGUGCGUAGGAGGGCAGGUAAGUCAGUGGUGAAAUCUCCGAGCUUAACUUGGAAACUGCCAUUGAUACUAUCAGUCUUGAAUACCGUGGAGGUCAGCGGAAUAUGUCAUGUAGCGGUGAAAUGCUUAGAUAUGACAUAGAACACCAAUUGCGAAGGCAGCUGACUACGCGAAUAUUGACACUGAUGCACGAAAGCGUGGGGAUCAAACAGG